rnacentral:lncRNA from 12 species
CCCGCCAAGGACUAUUGGACAUUGGACCUCAGGAGGAGCCCAUAUUCUUAAUGAGAAUUCAAAAGGAAGUGGCUGGUAGGUCCUAGCAUACAGUUAUGGAGGAGGAAGAAGAGGAGUCAACCACAGUGGGUUAAGAAGACAUCUCAAAUUUGCCUGGUGUCAUCAAACUAUAGAACUGAAUUACACCCUGACCAGAAGAUAGCCCUGAAAAUCAGAGAACACAGUGCAUUGGCCAGAAUGGUGAAGGAACCUUGGAAAUGUGUGAAGAGAGGAACUUGGAAGCUCACUC